CGUCGUGCUGCAGGAGUCUUCGUCACCGUCUUUACCUCCCCGUCGUUGUUGGUCAGGCAGCCUGUUACCUGUCCUGACCACAGUGUCGUUACUCCCUGUACCUGUGAAGACUAUAAUAGAGUGCCUCCCACUAUUAGUGUAUCUGAGUGACUCACUACACAUGUGCUGUUCUUAUUUAUAUUAAUUUUUUCCCUUUGAACCUUUUCAUCGUAAUAGUCCCCGGAUUUGCUUCAACAUCAACCGAAAAUAAAGGUCCAUGGUAAACAAAGUGUCGAUCAUUGUGAUGAGAAUCCUGAUGUUUGAUUUACAAAUAAAUGUCAUGGUGAGACAAUUACCCAAUGAUCACAGUGAAGCUGGUUGUUUUUCUUAUAAAAGUGUGGUAACUUUUAACGUUUGUCCAAAAGUCAUGAGCCAUGGUUAUGCAAAAAUUUCCAGUCAGGAAACAUUUACAAUGAAUAUGAAUAUACAUUGAUAUGGCAUCUUGCAAAGCGACCGGCUUUGACUGGAAGAUAUGAAAAAAACCUGUCAUCGUUUUCAAAUAUACAGUGAACAUCAGCCUACAUCCAGGUGUAUGAAUACGGAUCGUGAUGAAACGAGGCGGGUGCGUCACUGACAGUUCCCUUAAGCAGAGACUUCGCUGAAUGGAAGGCGCAGAGCUCACAGUGGAUGUCCUGCGCUACUCCGGGCUGUUUGUAUGAAGAUCAGAGACGCUACAGAACGGCGUGAACAACUUAUAACGGUUGCUCUUCACAAGGCUCUUUCAGCCGAGUUUCCCCCCACAGGAACAACACAAUCUGUGGGACAGCAGAAGCACAAACCUGCAAGAUCGUUGAUGAGUUCUGUCCCUUUGACCUUUUGUGGGUAGCAGCAUGUCUUCAAAGGGCAGCUACGAUUCAAUUUACGUUUUCGACAUCAUUUCUUUAUUUACGAGGUUUUUUUUCCAACAAUGAGCCAUGUGUUGCUUGCCAGAUGAUGUUCAACGAAUUUCAUCAAGAAGAAACGUUUUAGAAUCAGUGCUUUUUGAACUGUGUGAGGAUGCAUAUGAGAGCAAUACUCCCCAUAAACAUUUAUAUUUAUAUGUCAAAGAAUAGCAACUACUCUGAACAUAAUCUGUUAUAAUGCUAAUUUAAACCACAUGAUUUAUUAAAUGUAAUGUUACAGUCGUGUUAUGUUUGUUUGGCCCAUUUUCUACUUAUAAUGCCAACAUUUCCAGAAGAAAAAAACAUGUUUUAAUCAAGAUGUUGAUUAUUUACAAAUGUUUUAAAUAAUUGUCAUCAAUGAAUAUUACCAAGGAUUCAAGCCAUAUAUUUAAAUUGUGUUAAAUGCUAUACUAUGGAAAUGUAUGUAGACAUAAGCUUUUUAAAACACAAUGUGUUUUGGAAGAUAUAUCUUGCAAGAAACACUUUGUCACAACAGGAUUUCACAUAAGUAUAAAAUAAUGUAUUUAUCGUACUUGUGUAAUGUAGCUCUCUGAGACACCGUCUUGUCUUUCUGUAUAUUUAUUUGGAAUAAAGUCCACUGACAACUCAACGAGUAACCACG